GUGGGGAAUUUUGGACAAUGGGCGCAAGCCUGAUCCAGCAAUGCCGCGUGCAGGAAGAAGGCCUUCGGGUUGUAAACUGCUUUUGUACGGAACGAAACGGUCCUGGUUAAUACCUGGGGCUAAUGACGGUACCGUAAGAAUAAGCACCGGCUAACUACGUGCCAGCAGCCGCGGUAAUACGUAGGGUGCGAGCGUUAAUCGGAAUUACUGGGCGUAAAGCGUGCGCAGGCGGUGCUGUAAGACAGGCGUGAAAUCCCCGGGCUCAACCUGGGAAUUGCGCUUGUGACUGCAGUGCUGGAGUACGGCAGAGGGGGAUGGAAGUCCGCGUGUAGCAGUGAAAUGCGUAGAUAUGCGGAGGAACACCGAUGGCGAAGGCAGUCCCCUGGGCCUGUACUGACGCUCAUGCACGAAAGCGUGGGGAGCAAACAGGAUUAGAUACCCUUGUAGUCC
rnacentral:rRNA from 1 species